GGGGCCGAUUAGGAUUCGACGCCGGUAACGAAACUUGAGGGGCAUGCCGAGUUGGUGGCAGAACUCGUAAAUCCACUGCUACAAACUCAUAGUUGCCAACGACGACAACUACGCUCUGGCGGCUUAAUGCCCCAGCAGUCUCCAGGGGAUGCCUGUAAACCCGAAGAGACUGUCAGAUAGAACAGGAUCGCCGCCAAGUUCGCUGUAGACGUAACGGCUAAAACUCAUACAGCUCGCCCAAAGCACCCUGCCCGUCGGGCCGCAAUGGGUUAACUCAAUAGACAGGGCUAAGCAUGUAGAACCGAUAGCGGAGAGCUGGCGGACGGGGGUUCAAAUCCCCCCGGCUCCACCA
rnacentral:tmRNA from 17 species